rnacentral:rRNA from 1 species
GACGAACGCUGGCGGCGUGCUUAACACAUGCAAGUCGAACGGAAAGGCCCUGCUCUUGUGGGCGGCUCGUGUGGCGCACGGGUGUGUAACACGUGAGUAACCUCCCCUUGACUUGGGGGUACCUCCAGAAAACGGGGGCUAACACCGGAUAGCAGCUCCUGCAACAUGGUGGGGUUUGGAAAUUUCCGGCGUUGGGGGAUGGACGCGCGGUUAAUCAGCUUGUUGGUGGGGUAGUGGCUUACCCGGGCAUUGAUGGGUAGCCGGCCUGAGAGGGUGACCGGCGACAUUGGGACUGAGGUACGGACCAGACUGCUACGGGAGGCAGCAGUGGGGAAUAUUGCACAAUGGGCGGAAGCCUGAUGCAGCGACGCCGCGGGCGGGAUGACGGCCUGCGGGUAGUGAAACGCUUUCGCCUGUGACGAAGCGUGAGUGACGGUAAUGGGUAAAGAAGCACCGGCUAACUACGUG